rnacentral:piRNA from 1 species
UCAGACUUCGCUUCUGCUUGA